GCAUAGCUCAGUUGGUAGAGCAGGAGACUCUCAAUCUCAGGGCUGUGGAUUCGAACUCCACGUUGGGCA